rnacentral:rRNA from 1 species
GAUGAACGCUGGCGGCGUGCCUAAUACAUGCAAGUCGAGCGAACGGACGAGAAGCUUGCUUCUCUGAUGUUAGCGGCGGACGGGUGGGUAACACGUGGAUAACCUACCUAUAAGACUGGGAUAACUUCGGGAAACCGGAGCUAAUACCGGAUGAUAUUUUGAACCGCAUGGUUCAAAAGUGAAAGACGGUCUUGCUGUCACUUAUAGAUGGAUCCGCGCUGCAUUAGCUAGUUGGUAAGGUAACGGCUUACCAAGGCAACGAUGCAUAGCCGACCUGAGAGGGUGAUCGGCCACACUGGAACUGAGACACGGUCCAGACUCCUACGGGAGGCAGCAGUAGGGAAUCUCCCGCAAUGGGCGAAAGCCUGACGGAGCAACGCCGCGUGAGUGAUGAAGGUCUUCGGAUCGUAAAACUCUGUUAUUAGGGAAGAACAUAUGUGUAAGUAACUGUGCACAUCUUGACGGUACCUAAUCAGAAAGCCACGGCUAACUACGUG